rnacentral:rRNA from 1 species
GGAAACUGGGUCUAAUACCGGAUAGGAGCGUCCACCGCAUGGUGGGUGUUGGAAAGAUUUAUCGGUUUUGGAUGGACUCGCGGCCUAUCAGCUUGUUGGUGAGGUAAUGGCUCACCAAGGCGACGACGGGUAGCCGGCCUGAGAGGUGACCGGCUCUACUGGGACUGAGACACGGCCCAUCUUCAUACGGGAGGCAGCAGUGGGGAAUAUUGCACAAUGGGCGCAAGCCUGAUGCAGCGACGCCGCGUGAGGGAUGACGGCCUUCGGGUUGUAAACCUCUUUCAGUAGGGAAGAAGCGAAAGUGACGGUACCUGCAGAAGAAGCACCGGCUAACUACGUGCCAGCAGCCGCGGUAAUACGUAGGGUGCGAGCUUAUCCGGAAUUAUUGGGCGUAAAGAGCUCGUAGGCGGUUUGUCGCGUCUGUCGUGAAAGUCCGGGGCUUAACCCCGGAUCUGCGGUGGGUACGGGCAGACUAGAGUGCAGUAGGGGAGACUGGAAUUCCUGGUGUAGCGGUGGAAUGCGCAGAUAUCAGGAGGAACACCGAUGGCGAAGCAGGUCUCUGGGCUGUAACUGACGCUGAGGAGCGAAAGCAUGGGGAGCGAACAGGAUUAGAUACCCUGGUAGUCCAUGCCGUAAACGUUGGGCACUAGGUGUGGGACCAUUCCACGGUUUCCGCGCCGCAGCUAACGCAUUAAGUGCCCCGCCUGGGGAGUACGGCCGCAAGGCUAAAACUCAAAGGAAUUGACGGGGGCCCGCCAAGCGGCGGAGCAUGG